UUUUUUUUUUUGGUUUUUUUUUGAAAGGGAAAAAAAUUUUUUUAAUUACAAACUCAAUUCAUUUGGUGCAUUUCAAAGGUGCAAUACUUUUCUUCAUUUAUCAGUGAAAGAAGUUAGAAAUUAACUUCCCAAAAAAAUCAGCAAAUGGCAAACAAAUGUCCUUGAAAGUCACAGUCACAUAUAGUGCGUCCUAGAAAAGAGGAGGGGCAAGACGGGCUCCACCCACUUUCAUGAGUUUCAUCAAAUACUGGAUCUACUCAAGGGUGGAGAGAAAAGGCAACUUUCAAAAAGGAGUAUGUUAUUAAAUGAGGCAUUUACUAUACUCCUUCCUAAGAGCACCAGAUGGGGAACAUGUUUUCUAAACUAGAUCUAGGAAAUGGAAUGUGGAAUCAAUCCGUCCUCCUCCCCUUAAGGGCUAACCACUGGUUAAUGAAUUAAAAAAACAAGACUAAAAAACAAACCCCACACACACUCCCCCCCAAAAAAAGAG
rnacentral:lncRNA from 1 species